CAGAAACAAACCAGCAGUGGACACUCAACCUGCCAGUCAGGAGGAGACCCACCAUCCCAUCAUUUAGUGACUAACAUUUAGUGAAGAAUUUCAUUCAGUAAAAAUCCACAUAUAACCCUUAAAAUCCUUGUUUUUGAUUUCACUGUAUGAUGUUCAUUAGCAGGUAUUUGUAGGCUUUUAUCAGAUAAACUCCAUAUCAGUAAUGUAUGGCUCUUUUUCUGCUGUUGACAUCAUAUCAUAACAAAAUGUUCAAUUCUCAUUACAGUGUCUAUUACUGGUUUGAAGGUAAAACCAAGUUCUUUGGGAAUCUGUUCUGUGCAGCAGCAGAGAGAGAAAAGCAGACAGGAGAGAAGAUACUGGAGUUGUUAUCAUCAGUGUGCAGAUAUGAAACAUUCCCUUUUAAUGACAUGGAUGAAUAUGAUGAUGAUGAUGAGAGGGAAUAUCAGUGUGAUUUCCUGCUGGAUCUUUACUCCCACCUGAAGGACUAUGAGACUAAAACAGGCUUGAGUGUCCUUCCAUCAUCACAGUCAGUUCUCCAGUCAGCUCCUGCAGUCUGGUUCAUAAACCUCUCAGAGAGAAAGACCUCCAUCCUCCUGGAAGUGCUGAAACUCCAAUCAGAGAAGAAACAAGUGAAGCUGACAGGCUGCUCACAUGAAGAGAGUGAAGUGAGGAGUUUCCUACAGUGUCUGCCUUAUAUCUCACAGCUCAGUUUUGUUCCUCAGUCGUCAGAUCGUUAUGAAGAAACCAAGUUCUUUGGGAAUCUGUUGUGUGCAGCAGCAGAGAGAGAACAGCAGACAGGAGAGAAGAUACUGGAGCUGUUAUCAUCAGUGUGCAGAUAUAAAACAUUCCCUCUUAAAGAGAAAUGGUGUGAUUUCCAGCUGGACCUUUACUCUUAUGGUUGUGAAACAGGCUUGAGUGUCCUUCCAUCAUUACAGUCAGUUCUCCAGUCAGCUCCUGCAGUCUGGUCCAUAAACCUCUCAGAGAGAAAGACCUCCAUCCUCCUGGAAGUGCUGAAACUCCAAUCAGAGAAGAAACAAGUGAAGCUGACAGACUGCUCACAUGAAGAGAGUGAAGUGAGGAGUUUCCUACAGUGUCUGCCUUAUAUCUCACAGCUCAGUUUUGUUCCUCAGUCGUCAGAUCGUUAUGAAGAAACCAAGUUCUUUGGGAAUCUGUUCUGUGCAACAGCAGAGAGAGAACAGCAGACAGGAGAGAAGAUACUGGAGCUGUUAUCAUCAGUGUGCAGAUAUAAAACAUUCCCUCUUAAAAGAGAAAUGGUGUGAUUUCCUCAUGGACCUUUACUCUUAUGGUUGUGAAACAGGGUUGAGUGUCCUUCCAUCAUUACAGUCAGUUCUCCAGUCAGCUCCUGCAGUCUGGUCCAUAAACCUCUCAGAGAGAAAGACCUCCAUCCUCCUGGAAGUGCUGAAACUCCAAUCAGAGAAGAAACAAGUGAAGCUGACAGACUGCUCACAUGAAGAGAGUGAAGUGAGGAGUUUCCUACAGUGUCUGCCUUAUAUCUCACAGCUCAGGUAAGUCUGAUAAUAUUGAAAGGAAGUUUGUCAAAACAUUAUUUGACUAUAAUUUAAAAUUGA
rnacentral:lncRNA from 15 species